GCGCAGCAGUCGCGAAAACUUUACAAUGUGCGAAAGCACGAUAAGGGAACUCUGAGUGCCUCCUAAGGAGGCUGUUCAGGUGUCUAAAAGCACCUGAAGGAAGGGCUGGGUAAGACCGGUGCCAGCCGCCGCGGUAACACCGGCAGCCCAAGUGGUAGCCACGUUUAUUGGGUCUAAAGCGUCCGUAGCCGGCUGGGUAAGUUCCUUGGGAAAUUUGGCUGCUUAACAGUCAAGCUUUCAGGGAAUACUGCUCGGCUUGGGGACCCGGGAGAGGUCAGAGGUACUCCAGGGGUAGGGGUGAAAUCCAUUAAUCCUUGGGGGACCACCGGUAGCGAAGGCGUCUGACCAGACCGGGUCCGACGGUGAGGGACGAAGGCUAGGGGCGCGAACC
rnacentral:rRNA from 1 species